rnacentral:rRNA from 1 species
ACGGGUGAGUAACACGUAGGUAACCUGCCUAUAAGAUCGGGAUAACUAUCGGAAACGAUAGCUAAGACCGGAUAAUUGGUUUUUUCGCAUGAGAGAACUAUGAAACACGGAGCAAUCUGUGGCUUAUAGAUGGGCCUGCGGCGCAUUAGCUAGUUGGUAGGGUAAUGGCCUACCAAGGCGACGAUGCGUAGCCGACCUGAGAGGGUGACCGGCCACACUGGGACUGAGACACGGCCCAGACUCCUACGGGAGGCAGCAGUAGGGAAUCUUCCGCAAUGGACGCAAGUCUGACGGAGCAACGCCGCGUGAGUGAUGAAGGUUUUCGGAUCGUAAAGCUCUGUUGCCCUAGACGAACAGCAAGGAGAGUAACUGCUCUUUGUGUGACGGUAUAGGAGAAGAAAGCCCCGGCUAACUACGUGCCAGCAGCCGCGGUAAUACGUAGGGGGCAAGCGUUGUCCGGAAUUGUUGGGCGUAAAGCGCGCGCAGGCGGUCAAUUAAGUUGGGUGUUUAAGCCCGGGGCUCAACCCCGGUUCGCAUCCAAAACUGGUUGACUUGAGUGUAGGAGAGGAAAGUGGAAUUCCACGUGUAGCGG